rnacentral:rRNA from 1 species
UACGUAGGGUGCGAGCGUUAAUCGGAAUUACUGGGCGUAAAGCGUGCGCAGGCGGUUCGUUGUGUCGGCGGUGAAAGCCCCGGGCUUAACCUGGGAACGGCCGUUGAAGCUGGCGAACUGGAGUGUGGCAGAGGGGGGUGGAAUUCCGCGUGUAGCAGUGAAAUGCGUAGAGAUGCGGAGGAACACCGAUGGCGAAGGCAGCCCCCUGGGCUAACACUGACGCUCAGGCACGAAAGCGUGGGGAGCAAACAGG